GUCCACGCCCUAAACGAUGUCGACUAGUUGUCGGGCCUUUACAGGCUUGGUAACGCAGCUAACGCGUGAAGUCGACCGCCUGGGGAGUACGGUCGCAAGAUUAAAACUCAAAGGAAUUGACGGGGACCCGCACAAGCGGUGGAUGAUGUGGAUUAAUUCGAUGCAACGCGAAAAACCUUACCUACCCUUGACAUGCCAGGAAUCCCGCAGAGAUGUGGGAGUGCCCGAAAGGGAGCCUGGACACAGGUGCUGCAUGGCUGUCGU
rnacentral:rRNA from 1 species